ACCAGCCUGGGCAACACGGUGAAACCCUAUCUCUACUAAAAUACAAAAUAAUUAGUCAGGCGUGGCGGCGUGCUCCUGUAGUCCCAGCUACUAGGGAGGCUGAGGCAGGGGAAUAGCUUGAACCCGGGAGGCAGAGGUUGCAGUGAGCUGGGAUCACGCCACUGCACUCUAGCCGGGUGUCACCUGUGCACCUAUUUCUCCAACUGGCCUGUAAGUGCAAUGAAGUCAAGGAUGGUGCCAGCGCUUGGCAGGUAAUGAGUAAGUAAUAAAUAUUGUUGAAUAAGGAAACUGAAUAAUGGUUCUCAGCCCGCUGUGCAUUAGAAACACCUGAAUAGCUUAAAAUAAAGA
rnacentral:lncRNA from 1 species